CUUACCAUACCACACAAAUCUCUACAUUUCCGAAGCUGUCCAAAUCUAACACAUAAUACAGGGAGCAAGAGUAAAUCCUAAACUGGGGAAGCCAACUACUCUCUAAUUGAAGGCGAUCUGAAAGCCAACUGCACCGACUCGACGUUAUUAUGAAGGAGCUGAACCCCUACCAGCCUAUAAACUCUGUGGACACAACUAAUUUUGACUGGAAGUGCAGAGUAAGGGUACAAUCAUUCAGGAAAGGCCUUAACAGAGAGAGUCAGGAAUUUUGGGGAUUUAAUAUGGUACUAAUAGAUGAUUCGAAUGAUAGGAUACAUGCUUUUGCGAAUUCCAAAUAUUGUCAUGACCUGGUGAAGGAUAUAAAAGAAGGAGAGGUUUAUGUCAUCUCGAAUUUAAAAGUAAAAGAUUACUUGGGAGAUGAAAAAUACCGCGCUGUCCGAAAUAAGAAGCAUAU